rnacentral:rRNA from 1 species
CGCGCAGGCGGAUUAACAAGUCAGAUGUGAAAUCUCGGGGCUCAACCCCGAAACUGCGUCUGAAACUGUUAAUCUAGAAUCUUGGAGAGGGAAGGGGAAUUUCUCAUGUAGGGGUAAAAUCCGUAGAGAUGAGAAGGAACACCAGAGGCGAAGGCGCCUUCCUGGACAAGUAUUGACGCUGAGGCGCGAAAGCGUGGGGAGCAAACA